GUUACUGAAAUUGAAUCGUGAGUAGGCUACUUUAUAACGAGUACAUACUUGACCAUAGAUUAAACCAUUAGGGCGUAUUCAGAAAGAAAGCUUGAAACUUAUAAGCGCUUAUAAGCGCUUAUCGGCGCUUGUCAGGCGCCACAUAAAAUUUGUUUUGGUCUGCUUCAACGAACCAUCGCGGCGUUGAUAAGCGCCGAUAAGCGCUUAUAAGUUUCAAGCUUUCUUUCUGAAUACGCCCUUAGAAACCAAAUAAUACGGGUACGACAUUGGCAAAUACUAAAUAGCCUUGGCAAAUUAUAGUCACAGUACAUAUCUUCAUAAUACUUGCUCUGUGGUAUCUUCUCGAGUUCUUGCCAUGAAAAAAAAAAGAAAAAAAAAAAACGAGAAAACGAGAGUAAAAGAAAAAUUUAAUUGUAGGUUUAAUUCGUAAUUGAGGUAAUUCCUGGUAAUUCGAUAAAUUGGUGAAAAUCAGUGGAUAAUAUUUAUAAUAAUUAGCUGGCGCCAUUAAUGGCUCCAAAAAUGACGACCGCUGCGGUAUCCCAGGCAGUUUCUGAUUGGGCUCGAAUUUUUCCAAAGGAAGCGACAGAGGAUUAUGAAAGCUCUGUUACAUUUAUUAGGCAACUGACAGUAGUUGCUGUUAGCACUAUAACGUAUUUGAAAAAUCUUGCCCCCGAAGAUUGUUAUAUGAUGGAAACUUUUGGAGGUAUUAAAUUAAAAAUUCUGAAGAAGACAUGUAGAGACAAGUGGGGCCAGUUUCUAAGUACGACUUUAUUACGAGCCUUCGAUGCUUUUGAUAAGAAAUACCUUCACCGAUUAGCUUUAUGUUUUUACGAAGACAAGUAUAAAUUGGAGAAUUUGGUGGAGUAUCAUGUUUUUGAGUAUACCUAUAACUCUGACGGGGUGAACUCCAUGAACAUUCACUCCAAGAACCGGAACAGUACCGAAAACUCAAUGCGGUUUGCUUUGGAAAAUGUUAGGGACAAAACUAUCCAGUUACUUAGAGCUUGUGUGGUCAUCACGCAGGCCUACGCAGGCAUAUACACAUGUGCAUACACAACACAGUUUUCUAACAUUAAUGAUGUUAGCUUCCGCCUUUAUUACAAUGAUAAUGCACCAGCGGACUACCAAGCACCAGGUUUCGAGAGAACGAGAGGAGAAGACCACCUGAAGCCAACAAUUCAAGACAAACUAAGACUUGGUUGGGUGGGAACGCCAUACCAUAAAAUUGUGACUUACUCCUUCUAUAAGCAACCUAGUAGGGCUAGCUAUGAGGCAAAUCCAACAGAGAAUCCACCAGAGCAAGUGCUUACUAAUGAUAUGGAACUAUCAGGUACUGUUGAAAUGUCGCAACCCAAGAGGGAUGGAGGGUUAAACGGACACGCUCGUGUCCGUUUAUGUUGUCCCUGCAACAAGUAUGGGCCAAGUGACGCCUUUACCCAAACUGAAUUGUUAACUUGUCAAGUCUAUGCAUUUUACGUUGAACAUUGGAGCUGUGUUCGGAAGUCCAAACCAUUGAAGCCCGGGACUUGAUGGACAAAUUCAAUAUAUCUGAGUCCAACGCUGCUAAUCUCAUGCAGUUACUUCAUUCCAAUAAAAUUAUCCAACAAAAUUCACAAUCCAAAAACCAUCCAGCAUAUCACAGGUGCAUGCAGUGCCAUAGUUCAAACAGAUUAUAAGCAUCGACAUGACCAGAUUGCAAAUAUAAUACACCAAAAACUCGCUAUAAAACACAACCUUAUAGACAAAACACCAGUGCCAUAUUACAAAUACAUCCCCGAGACAAUUUUAGAAAACUGUAAUCACAAACUUUAUUUUGAUAGAGCCAUACUUACAGACAGAACAGUACAUUAUAAUAGACCGGAUAUCACCCUGAUUGACAAAGUAAAUAAAGUAGCAUACCUAAUAGACAUAGCCAUCCCUAACACACACAACAUCCAAUCAACUAUAUCACACAAAAUUAAUAAAUAUCUAGAGCUAAAAGAUGAGAUUACACGUAUGUGGAAUCUUCGUAAAGUGUCAAUCAUCCCCAUAGUUCUAUCUACGACUGGAAUAGUACCAACUCAACUUCAUCAAGCCGUAAAAUCACUCGAUCUUCCAAAAUCUUUAUUCAUCUUACUACAAAAAGCCGUCAUUUUAAACACUUGCAGGAUAACGAGAAAAUUUUUACAAUG